rnacentral:rRNA from 1 species
GAUGAACGCUGGCGGCGUGCCUAAUACAUGCAAGUCGAGCGAACGGACGAGAAGCUUGCUUUUCUGAUGUUAGCGGCGGACGGGUGAGUAACACGUGUAUAACCUACCUAUAAGACUGGGAUCACUUCGGGAAACCGGAGCUAAUACCGGAUAAUAUUUUGCACCGCAUGGUUCAAAAGUGAAAGACGGUCUUGCUGUCACUUAUAGAUGGUUCCGGGCUGUAUUAGCUGGUUGGUAAGGUAACGGCUUACCAAGGCAACGAUGCGUAGCCGACGGGAGAGGGUGGUCGGCCACACUGGAGCUGGAACAGGGUCCAGGCGCCUACGGGAGGCAGCAGUAGGGAAUGUGACGCAAUGGGCGAGAGCCUGACGGAGCAGCGGCGCGUGAGUGAUGAAGAUCUUCGGAUCGUGAAACUCUGUUAUUAGGGAAGAACAUAUGUGUAAGUAAAUGUGGACAUCUUGACGGUACCUAAUCAGAAAGCCACGGCUAACUACGUG